UCACUAUGAGUAGUUUAACCA
rnacentral:piRNA from 1 species